GAGAAGGAAACUGACUCACUUCGAAGUGUACACUUGUUGGCUGAGAUGAAACUGUUACAGAAAUUAAUUAAUAAUGCAGCAGUCUGAGAUAUAACACAGUCAGUCUGUACCACAACCCUCAGUAAACCCCUUCAAAAGGCAUGGAAUCCAUUGUGACACUGUCAUUAUCUGCUGGUGACCGGAAACCCUUGAAAAGUGACCUUCUGUGCCCUUCGCCUGGCCCUUCCAUGCCACGCGGAUCCUGCCCACAUGGGCGGGGCCUGGCCAUCAGGGGCAAGAGUGUGGUGGACAAGUCCCAAAGGAGGAGGUUCCAAGCAUACUCCUCCUGGUAAAGCUUCUGGGGCAGACCCAGGGCCUGCAGGAAGGAGUAUGUCUAACAGCUGCCUUCAGAACAUCCGGCGAUCUUACAGAGCAUGCUAAUGACUGUAGCCAUGGAAAGAGAGAAACGAAAGCCUCACGGCAGAGGUCUGAAUGACCUUGGCUGGAGCAUCUCAUCUGAAAUGACACGUGGACUAAACGCGGCAGAUGAGUUCACCCUGAAAACAGGAGCAAACAGAAAAUGCUGCCAGUAUGAAUAUGAAUAUGCAUAACCUCAUUUCUGCAACCUGUCACAACCACACCGACUGUUAAAUCCACAAAGUCUCAGUUUUCCAGCCUGGCUUUCCAAUACGGAAAACCACGGGCAGGAAUAAGCCUCUAAUCGUGCUGAAUUACACCACUUCAUCUGCUCUGUGGUCCUUUACACUCACGAGAGCUUCAUGCUCAUGAACACCGUUGGGUGAAAUUGGGGAAUAAGUGGCAAAUCACAGCUCCCCCCCGUUCACUUUGGUCCUGAAAAUGUCAGGAUGCAUUUGAGCAGAUGGUAGAGUCUGCCCUCCCCAAAAGGAAACUUGUGUCCCUUUACAGGCGGAUUCCACAACGGUGAGAGGAAUGAUUGCUUUUCUGGAUCCCACGAGGUCCAGCGCUACCGUCACUAACAUCACUGCCAAUCUAUACAUAGUUCAGACAUUUAUUCAUAGUUCAGAAAUCGAAUCAGUCCAUGAAAUCCUGAGCUGUACCUUCUGUUGAUAAAUUUAACAUUUUAUUGGUCACCUUUGGAUCC